AGAAAGGUGUAUGAGACUCUUAUCUCCAAUUAAGCAUCAAAAAGCAAGAAGUGGGAGCACCAACUGUAAGCCUAAGAGCCCCCUCUCCCAUAGCUCAGCAUGCCCCUUCCCUAGGCAACACUGGGCCCAUCUAGCAAGGGCAGUAAAUAACUAGCCUCCACCUCCUCUUCCUUGAGAUGGCACUCCUUUACAUUACAUUACUAUAUAAUGCCACAA